rnacentral:rRNA from 1 species
GUGACAGCCGCCGCGGUAAGACGUAGGGGGCAAGCGUUGUCCGGAUUUACUGGGCGUAAAGCGCGCGUAGGCGGCUUGUUAAGUGUAGAGUGAAAGCUCCGGGCUCAACCCGGAAAUUGCUCUGCAUACUGGCAGGCUGGAGGGACGCAGAGGUCUGUGGAAUUCCUGGUGUAACGGUGAAAUGUGUUGAUAUCAGGAGGAACACCCAUGGCGAAGGCAGCAGACUGGGCGUUUCCUGACGCUGAGGCGCGAAAGCGUGGGUAGCAAACAGGAUUAGAUACCCGGGUAGUCC